GAUGAACGCUGGCGGCGUGCCUAAUACAUGCAAGUCGAGCGAACAGACGAGGAGCUUGCUCCUCUGACGUUAGCGGCGGACGGGUGAGUAACACGUGGAUAACCUGCCUAUAAGACUGGGAUAACUUCGGGAAACCGGAGAUAAUACCGGAUAAUAUAUUGAACCGCAUGGUUCAAUAGUGAAAGACGGUUUUGCUGUCACUUAUAGAUGGAUCCGCGCCGCAUUAGCUAGUUGGUAAGGUAACGGCUUACCAAGGCAACGAUGCGUAGCCGACCUGAGAGGGUGAUCGGCCACACUGGAACUGAGACACGGUCCAGACUCCUACGGGAGGCAGCAGUAGGGAAUCUUCCGCAAUGGGCGAAAGCCUGACGGAGCAACGCCGCGUGAGUGAUGAAGGUCUUCGGAUCGUAAAACUCUGUUAUUAGGGAAGAACAAAUGUGUAAUUAACUAUGCACGUCUUGACGGUACCUAAACAGAAAGCCCCGGCUAACUACGUG
rnacentral:rRNA from 1 species